CCUACGGGAGGCAGCAGUGAGGAAUAUUGGUCAAUGGACGCAAGUCUGAACCAGCCAUGCCGCGUGCAGGAAGACGGCUCUAUGAGUUGUAACCUGCUUUUGUACGAGGAUAAACGCAGAUACGCGUAUCUGUAUGAAAGUAUCGUACGAAUAAGGAUCGGCGAACUCCGUGCCAGCAGCCGCGGUAAUACGGAGGAUUCAAGCGUUAUCCGGAUUUAUUGGGUUUAAAGGGUGCGUAGGCGGUCGGAUAAGUUAGAGGUGAAAUCCCGAGGCUCAACUUCGGAAUUGCCUCUGAUACUGUUCGGCUAGAGAGUAGUUGCGGUAGGCGGAAUGUAUGGUGUAGCGGUGAAAUGCUUAGAGAUCAUACAGAACACCGAUUGCGAAGGCAGCUUACCAAGCUACUUCUGACGUUGAGGCACGAAAGCGUGGGGAGCAAACAGGAUUAGAUACCCCAGUAGUC
rnacentral:rRNA from 1 species